GCCAGAUCACGUACGAUCACCGAAGUUAAGCAACGUCGCUCCUGGACAGUACCUAGAUGAGUGAUCGCUUGGGAAUAUCAGGUGCUGUAUG